rnacentral:tRNA from 1 species
GCGCAUCUGGUGUAGUGGUAUCAUAGUACCCUCCCACGGUACUGACCAGGGUCCGAUUCCCUGGAUGCGCA